rnacentral:rRNA from 1 species
ACGAACGCUGGCGGCGCGCUUCACACAUGCAAGUCGAACGGAAAGGCCUGCUUUCCCUUGUGGAUUGCGGGUACUCGAGUGGCGAACGGGUGAGUAACACGUGAGUGAUCUGCCCCCAACUUGGGUAUAAGCCUGGGAAACUGGGUCUAAUUCCCGAUAGGACUGCAGGGUGGUGCCUGUGGUGGAAAACGAUUUUCUAGUGGUUGGGGAUGAGCUCGCGGCCUAUCAGCUUGUUGGUGGGGUAAUGGCCUACCAAGGCGGCGACGGGUAGCCGGCCUGAGAGGGUGGACGGCCACAUUGGGACUGAGAUACGGCCCAGACUCCUACGGGAGGCAGCAGUGGGGAAUAUUGCACAAUGGGCGGAAGCCUGAUGCAGCGACGCCGCGUGGGGGAUGACGGCCUUCGGGUUGUAAGCUCCUUUCGACCGCGAGGAAGCCACCUGGUUGGAAGGGUGGUGACGGUAGUGGUAGAAGAAGCACCGGCUAACUACGUG